rnacentral:rRNA from 1 species
CUGGAAGCUUACUGCAAUGCUUCAGGUCAGAGAAUUAACUAUAAUAAAUCUUCAAUCUUUUUUAGCAAAGGUGUUCCAGAAAACACACGUUUGGAGAUAAAAACAAUGUUGAAUGUUCCAAACGAGACUUUGAAUGAAAAAUACCUUGGCAUGCCGUCUGACAUUGGUUCUUCAAAGAAUGGGGCUUUCAAAUAUCUCAAAGAUCGACUUUGGAGCAAGGUGUAA